CACCACCACAAUGAUGCCAUUUGUGAAAAUCCCAAGAAGAAAUUGUAUCACUGCAAGAAGAAAAUAGAUAAUGAGGUUUACCUAGCUUUCAAAGUCAUCACAGGCAAAUAAUGGAAUCAGACACCUUCAGACAGCUGGGAGAACAGCUCCUCCAUAGUAAUUAGCCAAAGAUACUCAAUUCUUCAUCUCUACUAUGAAUAAUUGAUUUUGCCUACAGGACCAUCUAUGCCAUCUUGGACUCACUCUGUUCUUCCUGACACAACUACAGUGAGAUGAAGGAAAGAGAC